rnacentral:rRNA from 1 species
CAGCAGCCGCGGUAAAACGAAGGGUGCAAGCGUUAAUCGGAAUUACUGGGCGUAAAGCGUGCGUAGGCGGUUUGUUAAGUCUGUUGUGAAAUCCCCGGGCUCAACCUGGGAAUGGCAAUGGAUACUGGCAAGCUAGAGUGUGUCAGAGGAUGGUGGAAUUCCCGGUGUAGCGGUGAAAUGCGUAGAGAUCGGGAGGAACAUCAGUGGCGAAGGCGGCCAUCUGGGACAACACUGACGCUGAGGCACGAAAGCGUGGGGAGCAAACAGGAUUAGAGACCCCCGUAGUCCCUGUCUCUUAUAC